AUCCGCCUCCAUGUUCUUCUACCUCUCUUGCACACUAAAGCUCCGGGUCGCCCAUCUCUUCACUUCACCUCCGCCUCACCGGAUGCUACUGCGGGAAGACAUCAGCCGUGAUCUCUCCAGCGCCAACUCAUGCUACUGUUCAGAUGGACAGAAACAUGGGCAUAGUUAACCACUUCGAUGUACUAAAACAACCUGCGAAGAGGAGUUUAUUUGCUGCUGAUUAUAGUCUUCGAGGCAAGUAAUUCUUUUGUUGUGAAGUGGAGCGUGCCUUCAGUCUGAUGUGUUUGUCAGAUUUGAAGCAACAACAAAGAAAGCAGAGGAAUGAGGCUUUAGAAUAUCUUUUUUCUUUUGCUACAGUGGUCAGUUGUAGGCAUGGUUUUUGUAACCGAAAUUAACAGAGUUGACCUGAUAUUGUUAAUCUUGUAAGUAACCAUGAUUAACCUGAUAAAUACACAUAGUUGAACUGAUAAA